UAAUAAAUCUCAUGUGUAAUAAUUUUUAAUUUUUCUAUUUCAGUGAACUGAAGAGAUAUUGACCAGAAAUAUUAACCAAAGAGAAAUAUAAUCAUUGUAUAAUCAUAUAACUGUUAAUCUUAAUAUCACUGUGUUAUUGACAUUAGAAUUCAUCAGUCACCAAACUUGACAUACAUAUUAGACAAUUGUUAAAGAUUUUUUUGUCAUUUUCUGUUAUUGUUUAAAGUGCCUUUAAGUUUAGUUUGAAAUUCAUGAAAAAAUUUGUGAAGAUUUAAGUUACGAUUAAAAGACAACCAUAUGCUAAUGAUUCGAUAAUUACACAAUUUUAAUAUUAACAUCCCAUGGAUAUUCAGUUUUAGUUAAUACACUAGAUAAAAUGAUAAACUUUAUUUGCUGUAAAACGCAAAUCAGUUAUUUUAAGCUGAUAGAUAUAAGAGAUUACUAUUAUACAUUGUGUAAAAGUAGGCUCAGGACUUUAGUUACUGUUUCUUCUCUUGACUAUAUUUGAUGCUAGUUGUUAAACUGAAACAAGAAACCAGGUUUAGGAUUUCAAUGUAAAGAAAUUUGAUGCAUUUCAUUGGAUUUAUAUAUUGCUUCCUUUUGGUAUGACUGAAAAAACAAGACCUGAUGUGUGUUAGGCCUUUUGAGUGUUCUGUACACCAAUAUAAGAUCUGUACACCAAUAUAAGAUGGACAUCAUUGAGACGACUUUUACAACACAAUAAAAGUCAGACCUGGACCAAGGAUAUAUCAGAUUAAUUUACUAGUUAAUUAUCAUGACAACUUUAAGGGUCGUCCUCGAUAAUAUUAUAUCUUUUAUACAUUGACACCUUUAUUAACAACAUGUAGACAAUGGUUCAGUUAAUUUUCACUCAUGACUUGUAAACAUGAAUCAAUGAUCAUGUCUAUUUCUACCACCAAAACCUUUUUAAAUAAAACUAUCAAAACUGUUUCAAUAUUUUGAUAAAUACGAUUGUAAGAAAUGAAAUUUCAGAUGGUCUUCUUUUCUUGAAACAAGAAAGAUGUUAUGACACGAUAAACUAGAAUUGAUAAAUUCACACACUAUCUCUUUAAGAUUUCAAUAAUAUCAGAUGUUAAAGAUAUUUGUCCCUGUUCAAGUCAUGUCCCUCAGACACUUACACAACUUUUAUUUCCUUCAACAAAUGCAUAAAAGAAUAUAAAACGUGCAGACCUUCAGGGGAUCAGGAAUAUAUGAUAAAACAGAGAAUGAAAUGUAAAGUCAUCAAAUUUGGACUUCAUUUGAUUGGAAAUUAAUGAUUCAACAAAUGCUUGUUUUGUCUUUUGCUCAAUUAUAUUUCAUUUUUCUGUUGUGAAUUCAAUUCUUCUGUCUUUCCCAUAUAUAUUAUAUGGAAUUGUUGUUCAUUUGAAAAGGGACAGUAGGGUCAAAAGGAUAAAACAGAUAUUUCUCAUUAAUAUGUACUACCCACCCACUCUAGACAACAAAUUAUACAUUUUAUAGGACCAUAACUUUGUGUAUCACUAACCAAUAAACCUGUCAUUAGAUUUAUGUAUUCAGAUUUUCUGCAUGAAUGAUAUUGUAUGUUGUAAAUAAAUAUGUAAUUUUAUAUCAAAUAGCCGUAUGAUUAUUAGGAAUAUUGUCUUUGUUUGGUAUCAAAAACACUAGUAUCAUUGGAUACACGAUUUUUUUUGUUCUAACAUAAUAAAUACAUGGAAAUUUUUCUGCAAACUAUUAUAAGGUUAUUUACAUGCUUUUAGCUACAUUUUCAUUUAUAAGAAUGCAAAUUUUAGUUCGAUUGUCACAAUUAUUUAGUACAUAAUAUGAAAAGAAAACAAAAAUUUGUAAACUGCAAGUAGGUUUAUUGUUUUGUAUAACCCUUUUUUAGCUCACCUGGCCCAAAGGGCCAAGUGAGCUUUUGUCAUCACUUGGCGUCCAGCAUCUGUUGUCAUCCGUCGUCGUUAACUUUUACAAAAAUCUUCUCCUCUGAAACUACUGGGCCAAAUUUAACCAAACUUGGCCACAAUCAUCAUUGGGGUAUCUAGUUUUAAAAAUUUGUCCGUUGACCCGGCCAACCAACCAAGAUGGCUAAAAAUAGAACAUAGGGGUAAAAUGUAAAUUUUGGCUUAUAACUCUGAAACCAAAGCAUUUAGAGCAAAUCUGACAUUGGGUAAAAUUGUUUAUCAAGUCAAUAUCUAUCUGUGGGUUGCUGCCCCCAAUUGGUAAUUUUUAAAGACAUUUUGCUGUUUUUGGUUAUCACCUUGAACAGCAAUAAUGUUCAGCAAAGUAAGAUCUACAAAUAAGUCAACAUGACCAACAUGGUAAGUUGAAGCCUUAAGAUGUUAUUGCCCUUUGUAGUCAAUUUUUAACAAUUUUCAUUAAUUUGAUAAAUUUCUGUAAAUUUUUACAAAAUAUUUUCCUCUGUAACUAACGGGCCAGUUUAUUAUAGAUAGACAAAAUUGUAAGUAGCAAGAAUGUUCAGUAAGUAAGAUCUACAAACACAUCACCAUCACCAAAACACAAUUUUGUCAUAAAUCCAUCUGUUUUUUGUUUAAUAUGCAGUUUAAUAUGCACAUAGACCAAGGUGAGCGACACAGGCUCUUAAGAGCCUCUAGUUUUUUAAUUUUAGUUCAAUAUGAUAUGAUGAAAUUGCUUAAUGUCCAAAAUCUUCCAAAAAUGAUAUUUAAACAACAGGAUAAUUUUAAAAGUAUGAAUUAAAAGAGAUUUUGAGUAUGACAGAAACAACUGUAAAAAUGAUUACAAAUAAUGCAACUUUGAUUAAAUUUUUGUGAUAAGAUAGAAGUGUCUUAUAUUUUUUUUUAUGUAUGAUAAUAUUUUUUUAUUUAUUAUAUUUCUUUUGUGUGUGAAAAUGUGCAUUCAGGUCUUGAGUUAUACAAACUACAUUUUAAUGAAACAUAUUUAACUUCAGGUCUUGAGUUAUACAAACUACAUUUUAAUGUAAUGAAACAUAUUUAACUUUUUUGGGAGGUAAACUGGUAAUGGUAUACACUUUUUAAAAUCUUUUGCAUAUUAAGAAUUGUAAAAAGGGGAGAUAAUAAAAAAUUUGGUUUCAAAUAAAAAGUUCAGUAUUUUUUAAAAUGUUUCUUUAAUAUCAUUGAUGGGAUAAAUUUUGCUCUGAGUGUCGCAAGAGUAAUGUUCACUUUUAAUGUCUACAUAGAAGGAAGGAUGUUAUGUUUUUAGUAGAAGGAAUUAGAAAAAAAGAUGUAUUGAAUUUUUAGACAUAUAGCUCUCUAGCUGAGUUGUGAUAUAUAAAAAUGUAUAUGUAAAUUUUGUAUUCUCCCAUAUUGAGAUGUGAAUUUUAUAUCAUCUAUAUAUUUCUUUGUAUAUAAUCUAUGUUGUGCCUAUUUUUAUAAAUGAGAUAAAAAUUUCAAAAAAAGUGACAUUUUAGAUUAAGUCAUUCAUUGUUUCUUUGAUAUAUCAUGUUGAAACAUCCAGGGCAAAUCAUUUAUUUUUUCACAUUAAUUAGAUAUAGGAAGAUGUGGUGUGAGUGCCAAUGAGACAACUCUCCAUCCAAAUAACAAAUUAAAAAAAGUAAACCAUUAUAGGUCAAUGUACGGCCUUCAAUACAGAGCCUUGGCUCACACCGAACAACAAGCUAUAAAAGGCCCCAAAAUUACUAGUGUAAAACCAUUCAAACGGGAAAACCAACGGUCUAAUCUAUAUAAAAUAUAAAAAAACGAGAAACGAGAAACACGUAUAAAUUACAUUAACAAACGACAACUACUGUACAUCAGAUUCCUGAUUUAGGACAGGUGCAAACAUUUGCAGCGGGAUUAAACGUUUUAAUGGAUCCAAACCUUCUCCCUUUUUCUAAAACAAUAGCAUAACAUAAAAUUACUUUUAGAAAUCGACAAGAAAAGUUAAAUCCAGGACUCCAUUUUUUUUAAUUUAUUCAUAUGAAGUACGUUAUUGAACCUAGUUUGUGAUUCUGAAAUUCUAAAUGUUAGAUGAUGCCAUUAAAGGAUUAAUAUGACAAGAUGGAACAGCAGUCUUAAUACCGACUGUGAGGUAAAGAUUUGACAUUUAUGUAGGUAUCUAAUUGCUUUUAUUGAGAUACAGGCAAGAAAAAGACAAGACAGCAAAUUACUACAACCACUAUUAAUUGAAUAUAUGUAAACUAAUACUAAACAUUGUAGUAUUUUGAAAUGUUAAACAGAUUCUGUUGGUAUUUUUUAUCUUUAAAAAUAAUACAUUUUUGAUAAACAAUAAGCAUACUCAAAUGUAUUGCCAUUUUUAGAUAAUUAAAAAUAUAUUCUUAACUUUAAUCCUACAUACCAUAAUAUGAACUUGAUACAGUGUAUAUAGUUUUACUAUACAGGUACAUGUACUUGAUAGAACUAAAAAACAUGAAAUCCCAAAGUCCAGAGUUGUUUACAGAAAUUUAAAUCCUGCCAUCCCGAAAUUAAAAAAAAGAAUUCCCAAAUCCCGAAAAGAUCAAUCUCGAAGUCCCGAGCUUAAAAACAUGCAAUUCUGGAGUCCUGAUAAAGGUCCUUCGCCCCUUUUAUCCAAAAUUAUCUAUAAAAUCAAUAGCAGCUUACAGACAUUAAUAGAUUUAUUUGUUUAUAUAUCAGAACUAUUUCAUUACAUGUAUUGUUAUUGUUUAAUUAACACAAAAUAAAUUCUUUUUUGUAAGAUUUGUGUUCUAUUGAAUGACUAUUGAACAGCAUUAUCAAUAUGUAUAUAGUUAAUCUUUUCAUUUGCUUUGAAAAUAUAAGAAAGAAGAUGUGAUAUUCUUGCCAAUGAGACAACUCUCCACAAGAGACCAAAUGACAUAGAAAUAAAGGCUAUAGGUCACUGUACAGUUUCAAUAAUGAGCAGAGCCUAUACCGCAUAGUCAGCUAUAAAAGGCUUCAAAUCACAGAUGUAAAACAUUCAAACAAGAAGACUACAGGCUUAAUUAAUGUACAAAAAUGAACAAUAAACAAAUAUGUAAAACAGCAACAAAGGACAACCACUGAAUUACAGGCUCCUGACUUGGGACAGGCUCUUUCAUUCAGAAUGAGGCGGGUUAAAACCUGGGACAGUGGUGUAACAGUACAACAUACAUACGAACUAUAUAUUCAAUUGAAAAGGCUUAACUCAUCAGAUGGAUACAAAUAGAAAUACAUAUACAAAAA
rnacentral:lncRNA from 1 species